rnacentral:rRNA from 1 species
UACGAAGGGGGCUAGCGUUGCUCGGAAUUACUGGGCGUAAAGGGCGCGUAGGCGGACAGUUUAGUCAGAGGUGAAAGCCCAGGCUCAACCUUGGAAUUGCCUUUGAUACUGGCUGUCUUGAGUUCGGGAGAGGUGAGUGGAAUGCCGAGUGUAGAGGUGAAAUUCGUAGAUAUUCGGCGGAACACCAGUGGCGAAAGCGGCGCACUGGACCAUAACUGACGCUGAUGCGCGAAAGCUAGGGAGCAAACAGG